AUUGAACGCUGGCGGCAUGCCUAACACAUGCAAGUCGAACGGGGUUGGCUUCCGCCAGCCUAGUGGCGGACGGGUGAGUAAUGCGUGGGAAUCUGCCUCGUAGUGGGGGGUAACGUAGGGAAACUUACGCUAAUACCGCAUACGCUCUACGGAGGAAAGAGGGGGGGUCUUCCGACCUCUCGCUAUGAGAUGACCCCACGUCUGAUUAUCUAGUUGGUGGGGUAAAGGCCUACCAAGGCGACUAUCAGUAGCCGGCCUGAGAGGGUGUACGGCCACACUGGGACUGACACACGGCCCACACUCCUACGGGAGGCAGCAGUGGGGAAUAUUGGACAAUGGGCGAAAGCCUGAUCCAGCAAUGCCGCGUGUGUGAAGAAGGCCUGCGGUUUGUAAAGCACUUUAAGUGGGGAAGAAUGGGGUUGCGCUAAUACCGUGAUCCUUUGACGUUACCCACAGAAUAAGCACCGGCUAACUCCGUGCCAGCAGCCGCGGUAAUACGGAGGGUGCGA
rnacentral:rRNA from 1 species